rnacentral:rRNA from 1 species
UACGAAUGGGGCAAGCGUUGUUCGGAAUCACUGGGCUUAAAGCGUACGCAGGCGGCCAUGCAAGUCAGAAGUGAAAUCCCUGGGCUUAACCCAGGAAUUGCUUUUGAAACUGCACGGCUAGAAUCCGGGAGAGGUUGGCGGAAUUCCUAGUGUAGCAGUGAAAUGCGCAGAUAUUAGGAGGAACACCAGUGGCGAAGGCGGCCAACUGGACCGGCAUUGACGCUCAUGUACGAAAGCGUGGGUAGCAAAC